UGGUAGAGCGCUUGCUUGGUAAGGAAGAGGUCACCGGUUCAAGUCCGGUUGUGGGC
rnacentral:tRNA from 1 species